rnacentral:rRNA from 1 species
AAAAAGCAAAAUAAGGGCGCACGAUGGAUGCCUUGACGUAAAGUGCCGAAGAAGGACGCAGCAGGGUGCGAUAAGCCUCGGGUAGCUACCAAGCAAGCUAUGAUCCGGGGAUUUCCGAAUGGGGAAACCUAUCUCAAGUCAUGUUGAGAUGAUCCGAACUGAAUUCAUAGGUUUGGAGACGGCAACUACCGGAACUGAAACAUCUUAGUACGGUAAGGAAAAGAAAUUAACCAAGAUUCUCUGAGUAGCGGCGAGCGAAAGGGGAAGAGCCUAAACUUAUCUUUUUUCCUAUCAUUAUCUAGAUUUUGUCUAGGUAAUUAGUAGGUUUAGUCAUUAAUUAAAAGAAAGGGUUGUGAGAUGUAGACCAUCAGUCAGUUGGACUCAAUUCUUGAGCUUAGCUGACUAAUGCUUGUCAUUGACUGAUGACAAAUAGGGUUACAAAAUAAGUUAUAGACAUAACAUUCUGGCUUGAUCAGUAAAUUCUUUAGCUUAGGUUAGGUAAUAGUUUUCUUUUUGCUUGAAGCUUAUUAAAAAUAAGCUGAGAGAUAAAAGAUAGCUAGGACUUACCUAAAUAAAUAAUUUAGGUGGCAAGUUAGGAUGUUGUGUCUAUUAUAUAGUAGAAGGUGCCUGGAAAGGACCACCAUAGAGCGUGAAAGUCGCGUAAACGAAAUAUACUUAUCCCUUUGUCUACAAAGGACUGACAUCUGUAAUAGCUUGCUAUUAUAAAUGUCAGUAAGUCUCAAGUAGGACGGGGCACGGGAAACCUUGUCUGAAGCUGGGGGGACCACCCUCCAACCCUAAAUACUACUUACAGAUCGAUAGUGA